rnacentral:rRNA from 1 species
CGCUGGCGGCAUGCCUAACACAUGCAAGUCGAACGGGAUCCAGGCUUCGGCCUGGUGAGAGUGGCGGACGGGUGAGUAACGCGUGGGAACCUGCCCAAUGGUCUGGGAUAACCGCGGGAAACUGCGGCUAAUACCGGAUAAGCCCGAGAGGGGAAAGAUUUAUCGCCGAUGGAGGGGCCCGCGUCCGAUUAGGUAGUUGGUGAGGUAAUGGCUCACCAAGCCUACGAUCGGUAGCUGGUCUGAGAGGAUGAUCAGCCACACUGGGACUGAGAUACGGCCCAGACUCCUACGGGAGGCAGCAGUGGGGAAUGUUGGACAAUGGGGGCAACCCUGAUCCAGUAAUGCCGCGUGAGUGAUGAAGGCCUUAGGGUUGUAAAGCUCUUUUGCCAGGGACGAUGAUGACGGUACCUGGAGAAUAAGCCCCGGCU